rnacentral:rRNA from 1 species
GAAAACCGUGUGCUAAAUUACCCGGUAAUAACCGGCCCCCUUUAGGGGGGAAAGAUUUAUCGGGGUUUGAUGAGCCCGCGUUGGAUUAGCUAGUUGGUGGGGUAAAGGCCUACCAAGGCGACGAUCCAUAGCUGGUCUGAGAGGAUGAUCAGCCACAUUGGGACUGAGACACGGCCCAAACUCCUACGGGAGGCAGCAGUGGGGAAUAUUGGACAAUGGGCGCAAGCCUGAUCCAGCCAUGCCGCGUGAGUGAUGAAGGUCUUAGGAUUGUAAAGCUCUUUCACCGGAGAAGAUAAUGACGGUAUCCGGAGAAGAAGCCCCGGCUA